rnacentral:rRNA from 1 species
UACGUAGGGACCAAGCGUUGCUCGGAAUCACUGGGCGUAAAGGGCGCGUAGGCGGGGAGGUAAGUCGGGUGUGAAAUCCCUCGGCCCAACCGAGGAACUGCGCCCGAGACUGCUUCUCUUGAGUCCCGGAGAGGAAGAUGGAAUUCCCGGUGUAGCGGUGAAAUGUGUAGAGAUCGGGAGGAACACCGGUGGCGAAGGCGGUCUUCUGGACGGUGACUGACGCUGAGGCGCGAAAGCGUGGGGAGCAAACGGG